UACGUAGGGAGCAAGCGUUGUCCGGAUUUAUUGGGCGUAAAGAGCUCGUAGGCGGUUCGGUAAGUCGGGUGUGAAAACUCCAGGCUCAACCUGGAGAUGCCACUCGAUACUGCUGUGACUUGAAUCUGGUAGGGGAGCACGGAAUUCCUGGUGUAGCGGUGAAAUGCACAGAUAUCAGGAGGAACACCGGUGGCGAAGGCGGCUCACUGGCCAUAUACUGACGCUGAAACACGAAAGCGUGGGUAGCAAACAGG
rnacentral:rRNA from 1 species